AUUAUACGAAUUGUAAAUGCAUGACGAGAAGAUUGCAGCGUCACUAAAUCCUUGUCAACAAUUUUUUGUUUUCACGAGAGCUUUACAGUACCAGACGCGUGCACACGAAUUUUGGUCUGUCACAAGCAUUUUCGAAUAAUUAUAAAAUGAAUGUAGUUUAUAAGUAAGAAACGAACAUUCGCAGUAUAAUUCUUUCAGAUAGAUUGUAUUACAUUUAGAAUCUUAUAAAUAUUUGUCAAUAUCAGGAAAUAAGUUACAAAGCACAAAUAAUAUUUCAAAUAUAUUCUAUUUCCGUAAUAUAUUUUUUUAUUGAUGAGUAAAUUAAUUAGAAACAGCAGUAUUUUCCGAAAAAACGCUCACUUCCCCCAUCCUUCUCUGUUAAUGCAGUUUUACUUUCGGAAAUUUUUUGUCACCGGAUGCAAUGCGGUCUUAGAGUCAGUGUUUGCUAUGUAACGUUUUUAUAAUUUAAUAUUUUAUAAUUAGAUUUACUUUUACGUUUUCAAAGGCGUGCUUUGAUAAUGGGAUCGCCUAAGGACAUUGCUAUUAAUAUUUUAUAAUAUUCUAUUACACGUUAUGUUUGAAAAAAUUAUAUCUUUCCAACUUUUUAUCUAUUAAUCAAUUUUAUUUAAUCAAGUAACAAGCGCAGAUAUCUUCGUUUCAGAAUCACUUCUAUUCGUCAAAAUGAUAUUAAAUCAUUUGUGUUUACUCUCUAUACUUUUAUUUUUCAUCUCACUGCUCAGCCUAACGUAUUGUUUUUUGUUUUGAAACGUAAUAUGUCUAUUACUGAAAACAUAUCCUUUAGUGUAGGUGUUCCAGGAAUUUGACGAGUCCUAUUUGUGUAUGUAGGAAUAGUCGACAACUCUAGCCCCCUACUCCUCCAUAACCCAAACUCGUUGGGUAAAUCGCGGUGCGGGGUGUCAGUUUAACGUGGACAAUGAGAGGGAUUAGACGUAUAUCCAUCCAUGUCAUUUCGCGACAGGUGGCUUUGCACUUUGAUUACUAUUAUUUGAUUCCGAGAGAAGCUUUGAUGUAUUAGAGGGAUGCUGCGAAAUUCGAAAGGACGGGAUGAAAGCCAAAAG